GGAGAGAUGUCCGAGAGGCUUAAGGAGCACGCUUGGAAAGCGUGUGUAUCGGAAACGGUACCCGGGGUUCGAAUCCCCGUCUCUCCGCAA
rnacentral:tRNA from 1 species